rnacentral:rRNA from 1 species
GACGAACCGUGCGAACGUUAUUCGGAAUCACUGGGCUUAAAGCGCGUGUAGGCGGAUGGGUGCGUCGGAACCUGAAAGCCCCCGGCUCAACCGGGGAAGUGGGGCCGAAACGACCCGUCUGGAGGGACGUAGGGGGAUCUGGAACUUCCGGUGGAGCGGUGAAAUGCGUUGAGAUCGGAAGGAACGCCCGUGGCGAAAGCGAGAUCCUGGACGUUUUCUGACGCUGAGACGCGAAAGCUAGGGGAGCAAACGGG